AGGUCAGACCAAUCAUAUGUAAAGAGGAUUAUUAAAUAAAUUUAAUUCCCUUUACAUUUGUUAUUAAUCAUCUUCCUUAUUCAUAAUUCAAUCAUCCCUGAUAUCAAGAUAGCUGAAAUAUACUCGUGGUGGUUUAAGAAACAGUGUAGUUACGCGCUUCUUUCUAUCGCAGUCUUGGUAAAUUUAAAGAAAUUACACUGGAUAAAUAUACCAGAAUUGCGAUAGCCUUGGCAUAAAACCAUAAUCACUCAUAACCGCAUUAAGUACGUAGCAAACACCAUUGUUAGAUAUCCAAUCGCUUUGAUGUUGUUUCCGAAAGUAUCUUUACAACUGAAUCAAUAUCUGCAAGAAAUGUAUUUUAACGUUCAUUCUAACUCUAUUACAGGAAUUUAAAAGUGAUCCAUCUUAGUUUAAGAAUGUAUGUAAGAAGAAAGUAAUAAAUUUCCUCCGGGUUAAGCACCAAAGGUGUCCACCGGCCAUCGAGAUUGCCAUCAACUGCUCAGGUUGACUUGACCAGCUCCAUUGAUUGGCCCACACCAAUUAAGACCCCCCAUUCCUGGUCACCUUGGCAACUGAGUAGGUGGCAGGUCAAGCUAAGGGCAGAAGAAGAAUAGAAGAGGAGAAUGCCAUUUACACCGGAUUACGUAACAGUGUAUAAAAGGAUAGGAAAGGACAUGCAAGUAAUAAGAAGAAACCUUAAUCAAGAGAACAACAAAAAGGCUCUUGGGAUAGAAAAGUCCAAAAGGUUACAGAACUUACAAGAUCAUCUAACACUGCAGACCGCAGUAUCUUCACGGUUGACUGACAAAGACAAUAACAACAAUGAUGUCAUUCUCAAAGAUAGCAUUAAACGGAGAAAACGGACCUCCUCGUCACAUUGCCACUGGUUGUGUUCGUUUUGCCGCCCUACAUCUAGGUUACAGCGAUACAAGCACAUCCCAAAUAUUUUGAGAAAAAGUUACCAGCUGGCGGCUGGCAAGGCUUUGAAGGAAGAUAGUCCUCGGCGCUAACCGACUAAUUUCUGUAGUUUUAUAAAACAUUUCUACGAAAAAACUCGAACUGUUUUCCAGGAACACCCUUUUUUAUGCAUGACUCAUGUUGUGUCAUAGCGAAAUACUGGUAUAUACGAGCAUGUUCAGUUUACUUCUACUCAGAGAAUUCGUACUCAUUAGAAAACGUUUCAUAACAUACUCAGUGUCACUAUAAUAGAAGUGCUAGAUGGAAGAUAGUCUUCGUUAAGUAGAAUUCUUAUGGUAACAUUUAAUCAUUCUGUAUCAAUAACAGGUGUAAACCAUGUAAAAGUGGUACCGAUGAAGAUUGCCGCCGCUCUCACCUAUGUCCCGCGGUUCAGUUUGCCUUCGUGUUACGGUAAAUUUUCCUCCAUUAAGCACAAAUAUUAAAUUUAUAUUUACAAGAAAU